ACGCACGCUGGCGGCGUGCUUCACCCCUGCAAGUCGAACGAUGACGACCGAGCUUGCUCGGUCUGAUUAGUGGCGAACGGGUGAGUAACACGUGAGCAACCUGCCCUUCACUCUGGGAUAACCUCGGGAAAUCGGGGCUAAUACCGGAUAUGAGCUCCUGUCGCAUGGCGGGUGUUGGAAAGUUUUUCGGUGAAGGAUGGGCUCGCGGCCUAUCAGUUUGUUGGUGAGGUAGUGGCUCACCAAGGCGAUGACGGGUAGCCGGCCUGAGAGGGCGACCGGCCACACUGGGACUGAGACACGGCCCAGACUCCUACGGGAGGCAGCAGUGGGGAAUAUUGCACAAUGGGCGAAAGCCUGAUGCAGCGACGCCGCGUGAGGGAUGACGGCCUUCGGGUUGUAAACCUCUUUCAGCAGGGAAGAAGCGAAAGUGACGGUACCUGCAGAAGAAGCGCCGGCUAACUACGUG
rnacentral:rRNA from 1 species